AUUAUGGUAUAAUUUAUGCAAACCCAGAAAUCGUCAACGCACCAAUGGUGUAUCUGUUUUAACCUAUAGCUCCGCACAGAAACACUUACUCAUUAGAUCUUCAAAACUGAAAAUUAUACCAUAGUCUGGGUAUGGUAUAAUUUACGGUUAUUGGAAAUUAUACUUGGUAGAUUUUUACAUAAGAAGCGCUGAAGAGCUAUAGGUUAAUUUACGGUUAUUGGAAAUUAUACUUGGAAGAAUUUACAUAAGAAGCGCUGAAGAGCUAUAGGUUAACUAUUUGUUAUUUGAUUUUUCUUUUACAUUCAAUGAAUGAAAGUUAAGAUGAUGAGUAAAUUAACCCUGUUUAACAUAAUGAUGGACCGGUCCAUUAUACAGUAAACUGUUGUGAAUUUUGAAUUCUAAGAUAUCUGGGUAUGCAAAAAGAGUGCAAAUUACAGAGGAUGUACUUGAUAUUUUAACAAUUUUGGGGUAAAGUUUUGUUUAAGAUCUCAAAGUGUUAAAGUAAUUGGUAUGAUAACAUGGGACAAGGAGAUGUAUAACAUAAUCAGGCUGCUCAGGGACUUAAGUGCUGACUGUGAGAUGCCAGGGGUUUAAUAAUGAUGUGCAGUAUUAAUCCUGAAAAGGUUAGCACAACCACAAGAAGUUCUAGGAAACACAGGCAGUGGACUUAAAACAGACAUGGAUUAAAGAAAUAGUAAUUUAAAUAAUCAGAAACAUUUGAAACAAAUUUAUGAUUGAAACACUUCCAGCAAAAUAAUUGCAAAAAAAGUGUUGGAUUCUAAGAUUCCAAAACCUGCAGCUAGAAAAAAACUGUUUGUGUUAUAGUGAAUGUAGGGUAUUCUAUUCUGUAUUUGGACUAAAGGAUAUGAUAUUUUUUUUUAUUAAAUUUUGUGAAAGAAAAUUUAAUGUGAUGCAUUAUUGAUAAUUUUAUCCCAAAAUAUGUGAUCAUGUUAAACUCAUAAAAUUCCGCCCCCUGAAUUCUGUCCCAGAAUUCCGCCCAGAAUCUUGUUUGACAAUUCCGCUCCGAAAUUCCGCCCCAAGGUUCCGCCACAAGAUUCCGCUUCAAAUUCCGCCUUAAGAUUCCGCUUCAAAAUUCCGCCCCAACUCAUUUGCAUAUUUCGUCCUAAUUCCGCCCAGAAUCCGUUCCAUUUCCGCCUGGAAUCCGGCCGGAAUCCGUGCCAAAAGCAAAUGGUUUAACACUUGUAUAUUCGGGGGAGAAUUUAAAUUUCUGGGCGGAAUCUGCCUUUGAAUUCCGCCCCAUUUCCGUGCAGAAAAUUUCGUACAGGUAGUUGAAUGAUACAAUAGUAUAACAGUACAGUUACUGUAGUUAAAUGGUAAUAAUAUAAAACGUAA